CACAGCUGCGCCUCGUCGGGAGCCCCGGGCGGGGCCCGCCCCAAAGCCUCUUAAGCUCCUCCGGAGGCUGCCGGGAGCCACGGGGGAGUUCUUGCGGUUCUCCCCGAGAGACGGAGGGGGCUCCGGUUCCUUUGACCGCUCUUAGCGCUGCUGGAGCUGGGAAGCGGCUGCUGUGAGACCUCUCGCGGUAAGGAUCCGCCCAAACCGGUGUGAGCCGUUUUGGUAGUAACGGGACCGUGCAGGCGGCGAGGGCUCGGGAGCCGCGAGGAUCUCUUCGGCUGGAGCGGGAGGCUGCCGGGCUCCCGGACCCCGCUCUUCCCGGGGCCGGCGUAGGGCUGCCGCCGGGCUUCCCCGGCUGUUUGCUGUCGAUACAGCGUCGCCGCCCGGCUCCCAUCGCGUUUUCGGAGGGAGCUGCCGCUCAGGUCCUUAAGUCCUACCGCAGCCCCGGGGUGCUCUGAGCCUCCCUCUUCCUAGGGUUGUUUGUAGCGGGUGCUUCGGUUCUUCAGGCUCUCAUCGGCUGAGCGAGUGUUCCGGCAGAGCCUCUCCUCGCUCCAAAGCGGUGAGCUCGUGGAAGCGGUGAGCGUUGGGGAGUCAGCUGGUAAGAUCUCUCUUCUCGGGGUUUAUGUAGGGCUGUUGCUCGGCUACCUCUGCACCUUCGGGAUCGGCACGGCGCCGCUUCUGGGCUCCCGCGUGGCCUUUUAGAGAAGAGCCGGCACGAGGCCGCUGCCCGACGGCUCGAGACCGAGCGCGGCCCCGGGGCGGCCUCAGCCCCCGAGGAGGGUUCUACUGGUGCUCCAGCCCCCCCGUUUCCAGCGGUGGGAGCGAGCAGGAUGGGAACACUUGUUUUCUUUUUUUCUCCCCCUUCCUUCACGUGGGACUUCAGGAGCACGGUUUUGUGCCUACCGUGGAGACCUGGUGGGGCAGCUUGCAUGACCGGAAUGCUGUUGUGGAUGGCUUUGUUCCUUUUAGGAAAGACAGACCGGCCAGGUGGUGGAGUCUCUCUUCCAGUGAGAGAAUGGAAAUGUAUCGAGCUCUGCCUCGGGGUGAAUGAAGAACUAGCGGAGCGCUUGCAUGUGAGGCUCAAGAGGCAGGUAAAUGUGGGUGACAUCACUGUGGGUGGUAUCUCUACUGGCAGGAGACCUGCAGGGUUGAAUGAGGAACUCAAGAUGAACUUGAAGGGGAAAAGGAAGACUUGGGCUAAGGAAGACGAUGACCCUCUCAGUAUCACCUUUGGGAAGGGAGGUCAAGGCUAAUAGAAGUUGUGGUCGCUGCUGAGUCUGCUCCUUGGGAUCCCUGGAUUCUGGAGGAAAUAGUUUUAGAGGAAGGAUGACUUCCUCUUGAUUGUGGAGGAGCUGGUCAAAGGUCAUUUAGGCAAAGUGGGUGCCAGCACAAAUGCCUGAGCUGGAAAGGGAUAUGCCUGUGUGUGCUGAGAGAGCUGGCAGAAGUGACUGCCACAUAGCUCUCUGUCACGUUUCCUCUGUUCUUUCCUAUAGGAAAGGUGCCCAAAGACUGGAGGAUAGCUGAUGUCACCUCAGCCUUCGGAAAGGGUGAGGAGGAUGGCCUGUGUGUAUGGGAACUGUUGAAUCACAGCCUGAACCUUUGAUUCCUCCACCUGAGGAGAGUGCCGAGUCAGCUGCAGGGGCACAGGUGAAUGCAAUUUCACCUGAGUGAGGGGAAGAGGUGGAGCCUGGCUCCAUCCCUCCUAGAUGCCAUUUAAGGGCUGACUCCCAAGGAGGAAGGAUCUCUGGCUGGAGAUCCUCUUGGAGCCCUUCUGUAAGCCCAGGACAUGGGUAAGAUCUUUAUUUCAUUUCUCCUUUGUAAUGUGUUAUUCUCUGUGGUCCAAUACCUGUAUACCUGUUUGUCAUACAGCUGUGCAACUGUAGGUUGGUUAGCCUCACCUCCCUUCCUGGAAUGGCAAUGUAACAACUGCUUCUGGAUGUCAUCUCCAAGCAACUGGAAGAGAAGAAAUGUCUAAGGAGCGGUCAAGGGUGAAGGCUGCAGGGAGGAUUGGCUGGAAUACGUGAGCUGCUUUUUUCCAGUGCUGGGAUGAAGGAGGUGAGAGAUGGGGACCCACCAGUGGGUCCCCUGCUAGCAGAGGGCUGCCUUCUGUGUGGUUCACAGGUCUUCCUGCAGGUUCAGGGCUGGAGUGAGGUCUGAAGGUGUGUGGCAGGUUCUCUCUUGGAGGAAUGGAACUGAUGAAGUGCUGGAGUUUGGGGUCCUGGUGCAGCUGUUGUCUGAAGGUGCAGCGCUGGAUCUGCUGAAGGAGCAGAGGCAAGAGCUGAAUUUCUGCAUGGCAGCAUCUCUUGAAUGCAGUAGAGCUUCCCCAGCUUGAAGAUGGGUGUGCUAUCCAUAUGCCAGAGGAGUGGCAUCAACUGUCUUGUAAUAAACUUCUCAUUUCCUUUUUUAAGAUGAGCCCACUGCGACCUCUCUGGUUUCUUACUAGUUAACUCAGGAGCGUGCUUCUCAGAGAAACUCUUUGUGUUGAAUCUCAGUGAGUGAGUUACUGUGAACCUUCCUCCCAAACUGAGACUGAACUCGAGCAGAAGUGACAAUAUGUUGUACUCUGCAUGUAGCUCUUUAACAGAAGACAUGGAACUCUGGGGUUGUGCCUUUGUGUUAAAUGUUUGCAUGCAGUGUAUUGCAUCUUCAUGUGAGAGUCUGCAGUUAAUAAACUUUGCUUUUAAUUAGUUAAUGAUCCAGUUCUCCUGUGAUUGUAGCACAACAGCCAGAUAAUGCAGGAUAGAAAAUGGAGCUAGUUAACUUAAAUAUGAUACUAUUCUACUCACUUGACUUAUCUGUGUGUUAGUAGGUUUACUCAGUGCAACCAAGCGUCUGCAGGCCAUUAACCUGUUGCUCCUGGUGAUAACAGGACAUAGACAUUCCUCUGGAAAAAAUAACAAAAAUGUAUAUUAGUGACAUGACAUGAGAGGAUAUACAAACUCAG
rnacentral:lncRNA from 1 species